rnacentral:rRNA from 1 species
UACAGAGGGGGCGAGCGUUGUUCGGAAUUACUGGGCGUAAAGGGCGCGUAGGCGGCCCGCUAAGUCGAACGUGAAAUCCCCAGGCUCAACCUGGGAACUGCGUCCGAUACUGGCAGGCUUGAAUCCGGGAGAGGGAUGUGGAAUUCCAGGUGUAGCGGUGAAAUGCGUAGAUAUCUGGAGGAACACCGGUGGCGAAGGCGGCAUCCUGGACCAAUAUUGACGCUGAGGAGCGAAAGCCAGGGGAGCAAACGGG